rnacentral:lncRNA from 1 species
CGCAACGAGGGAGUGACAGACUCCCUUGCUGGCUUGGAGAAGCGAGCUGCCACCUCAUGAUGGGGCCUGUGAGGGGCCACUUGGCAAAGCACUACAAGGGCUCCCCAGGACCUGAGAGCAGCCCCUAGCUGACAAGCAGCAAGGGAACAGGGACAUCAGUCCUGCAGUUACAAGUCAAUGAAUUCUGCCAGCAACAUGAAUGAGCCUGGAGGUGGAUUCUUCCAUACUCAAACCUGCAGAUGGGAACACAGCCUGGCCAACACCUUGACUACAGCCUGACCAGAGAACCAACUAAGCCAUGCCUGACUGUGGAGCCUUGGAAACUAGAUCACUUCUUUAGUGCUGGCUGUGGUCUCCGCUCCUGCAGAGUUCUAGCCUCCCAGUGGAACCUGCCGACGCCCUGAGGAAGGAUCCCUCGCAGCACAACCAUGCAGGGUCCAGAAAGCAGAAAGCAGCUAACUGCAUUCCGCUCUAGCCAAACAGAACUCACCCCAUCUGUAUCAUCUACGCAUAAACUUUGCAAAUAAAGUCCUGGAUCCAGUACUCUGAAAUAACUUAAUGAAAACACAUUCUACUGCUAAAGUACCUUUGCCUUGGCUUCCAGUGCUGUGAUACACUUGUACGCGGUAAUGCAAAUAGGCCUGGAACGAGCAUACUUUGCCCUCUCGACCCGGCCAAUUCAGACUCUACACAUCUGUAGUGAGCCCCAAGGUUCUACAUUUCCUUUUCUUUUUUUCCUUUUCUUUUUUUUUUUUUAAGAGACAGAGUCACCCAG